rnacentral:misc_RNA from 1 species
GGUGAAGAACGUAGCGAAAUGCGAUAAGUAAUGUGAAUUGCAGAAUUCAGUGAAUCAUCGAAUCUUUGAACGCACAUUGCGCCCGCCAGUAUUCUGGCGGGCAUGCCUGUUCGAGCGUCAUUUCAACCAUCAAGCCCCCGGCUUGUGUUGGGGACCUGCGGCUGCCGCAGGCCCUGAAAAGCAGUGGCGGGCUCGCUGUCACACCGAGCGUAGUAGCAUACAUCUCGCUCUGGGCGUGCUGCGGGUUCCGGCCGUUAAACCACCUUCAUAACCCAAGGUUGACCUCGGAUCAGGUAGGAAGACCCGCUGAACUUAAGCAUAUCAAUAAGCGGAGGA